GGGGUCGUGGUCUAGCAUGGUAUGAUGCCAGCCCGGGGCGCUGGUGAUCCGGGGUUCAAGUCCCCGCGACCCCA
rnacentral:tRNA from 1 species